UAGGGAAUCUUUCCACAAUGGGCGAAAGCCUGAUGGAGCAACGCCGCGUGUGUGAUGAAGGGUUCCGGCUCGUAAAACACUGUUGUAAGAGAAGAAUGACAUUGAGAGUAACUGUUCAAUGUGUGACGGUAUCUUACCAGAAAGGAACGGCUAAAUACGUGCCAG
rnacentral:rRNA from 1 species